CUCUCUAUGCAUUCCCUAUCUCGUAUGCUCUCUAUCUCUAUAUCUAAGAGCAUCAACAACUAUUUAUAGCCAAGUAUGUGAGCUGUAGGGCACACCCAUGAUCUCCUAUUUUUCAGGACAUAGUGGGGCACUUUCUCCCCCAUGUUCUCCAUGAUCUCAGCAGCUUGGAGAGCACCCCAGUUAUGCCCCCAUGAUGCUGUCACUUCACCCACAUUCUGCCCCAUGAUCCCAUGAUCUAGGAAGACCAUGACUGCCACUAACCCACGUUUUGCAUGCCCACCUGGCAGCCCCAUCUGCCAGCUCUUGCUUCGUCAGCUGUUGAAUCACUCGUAUGCCUUGGACAGUCAUUCGUCCAAGUUUUAGAUCGUGCCAAGUCGAACCCAUGACUUGCACAAGUCGUUGCGCGCUGCCGAAUUCGCAUCUGCGUGCAGGCUGCCAAUUCCUGCGCUGCCGAAUUCCUCGACAACCUAUGCUGCUGACGAGUUUUCCUGCCUGGCUUGGACAUUCCAUCGUCAAGCCCAUGUUCGUCAACAAUCUGCGAUGCCGAUUUAUCCCCCUGUUGGCAUGGCUGCCAGCAACCUUAGGCACUGUUUUGGACAGCCUGCCGAAGUGUGCACCUCGUGCAUGUUUAACACUAUUACAAUCCACCCCCACCAAAAGAACCUGAUGCCCUCGUCAGACAGAUUCGAAGUACCCUCGCACCGUAUUUGUUCCUUGUCACAAUCCAUGUUUCUCCCACGAAACCUCUAGCUUUGCCCACAUUCAACAACAAUUCAGUCCAUCGAAUUUCGUCAACCUGUUUCAAAACCAAGUUGUGACACAUUCUGUUUUGGCUCGUUAGCUUUCCACAAAUGUCAAACACAUCAUACUCGCAAUCAUGUUUUCAUGAAGUCCAGACAUUAAUCGCAAGCGUCUCCAAAGUGUCCAUCCCUCUUCACGAAAUACAUCAACACAAAAUCACUUCGAAGAACCACAUGAGCUCCCAUACGAACAUCUAGUUCUCCAACCAUUCUGCGUGCCCCAAAAUUGCAAUUAUAAAAAUUUUAAAUAUUGUUUACUUGUCCGUCGUAUAGCAAUCAACUCUUCCUGCCGAAUUCGCCUCAGCCCAUGCAAGGCUGCCGCUGUCCAUCGCUGCCGAGUUCUAUGCAGUGUGCUUUUCGCUGGCGCAUCCUCACGCCUAGAGUUAAACCAUGAUCUGUCCAUCAUCAAAGUUAUCAGACUCCUCCAAUUCUGCCUCGCCUAAGGCAGUUUGGCCAUGCCUAAGUCCUCAUCAACUAGGCUGGCCCCUUGCCACUAACUCUUUUACUUAGUGUUAAGCACACGUAUAGGAUUUACGUAUGUCGUUCCUUCUCCAUCCUUCUCCACGGAAAUAACACUAAGUUGUGCUCUCAGCGGGCAGUCCCUUGCGACGUGCUUCCCCUCGUAAAUAAAACAGCCCGAACUUGAUUUCGAAACUUUUUCCUUGCCCUUGGCUUCUAACUUCCCGUUGCCAUCAGCCUGUUUAGGUCUCUCCCCCACCAAGCCCUUUCUUCUUCUUUUUCAUUUCGUACCUAUCCAUCAGUGGGUACGAAACAGAAGAUGCUCCAGUAGUCCCUUCGCUAGCGCCUGCUCUAAAAUCUGCCAACCCAUCAGCAGCCGAAAUGGCUGAAGACCAGUCUGAAACUUUCUGCCUACGCAACUCCAACUGUGCCCACGACUGAAGUCCUGACAGAAAAUUGAACAUUUUGUCCUCCUCGAACAUAUUAUCAUUAUCCAGAAUUAAAGAACUAAAUUUCUUCACGUAAUCCCUUACCGACCCAUCUUGCCGCAACUUUUUCAAGUCUUCCCUUGCAAUUCAGGACGUGUUGUUGGAUAGAAAUUGCUCUUUCAACU
rnacentral:lncRNA from 1 species